rnacentral:rRNA from 1 species
AACAGGAAGCAGCUUGCUGCUUUGCUGACGAGUGGCGGACGGGUGAGUAAUGUCUGGGAAACUGCCUGAUGGAGGGGGAUAACUACUGGAAACGGUGGCUAAUACCGCAUAACGUCGCAAGACCAAAGAGGGGGACCUUCGGGCCUCUUGCCAUCAGAUGUGCCCAGAUGGGAUUAGCUUGUUGGUGAGGUAACGGCUCACCAAGGCGACGAUCCCUAGCUGGUCUGAGAGGAUGACCAGCCACACUGGAACUGAGACACGGUCCAGACUCCUACGGGAGGCAGCAGUGGGGAAUAUUGCACAAUGGGCGCAAGCCUGAUGCAGCCAUGCCGCGUGUAUGAAGAAGGCCUUCGGGUUGUAAAGUACUUUCAGCGGGGAGGAAGGUGUUGUGGUUAAUAACCGCAGCAAUUGACGUUACCCGCAGAAGAAGCACCGGCUAACUCCGUGCCAGCAGCCGCGGUAAUACGGAGGGUGCAAGCGUUAAUCGGAAUUACUGGGCGUAAAGCGCACGCAGGCGGUCUGUCAAGUCGGAUGUGAAAUCCCCGGGCUCAACCUGGGAACUGCAUUCGAAACUGGCAGGCUUGAGUCUUGUAGAGGGGGGUAGAAUUCCAGGUGUAGCGGUGAAAUGCGUAGAGAUCUGGAGGAAUACCGGUGGCGAAGGCGGCCCCCUGGACAAAGACUGACGCUCAGGUGCGAAAGCGUGGGGAGCAAACAGGAUUAGAUACCCUGGUAGUCCACGCCGUAAACGAUGUCUACUUGGAGGUUGUGCCCUUGAGGCGUGGCUUCCGGAGCUAACGCGUUAAGUAGACCGCCUGGGGAGUACGGCCGCAAGGUUAAAACUCAAAUGAAUUGACGGGGGCCCGCACAAGCGGUGGAGCAUGUGGUUUAAUUCGAUGCAACGCGAAGAACCUUACCUGGUCUUGACAUCCACAGAACAUUCCAGAGAUGGAUUGGUGCCUUCGGGAACUGUGAGACAGGUGCUGCAUGGCUGUCGUCAGCUCGUGUUGUGAAAUGUUGGGUUAAGUCCCGCAACGAGCGCAACCCUUAUCCUUUGUUGCCAGCGGUCCGGCCGGGAACUCAAAGGAGACUGCCAGUGAUAAACUGGAGGAAGGUGGGGAUGACGUCAAGUCAUCAUGGCCCUUACGACCAGGGCUACACACGUGCUACAAUGGCGCAUACAAAGAGAAGCGACCUCGCGAGAGCAAGCGGACCUCAUAAAGUGCGUCGUAGUCCGGAUUGGAGUCUGCAACUCGACUCCAUGAAGUCGGAAUCGCUAGUAAUCGUGGAUCAGAAUGCCACGGUGAAUACGUUCCCGGGCCUUGUACACACCGCCCGUCACACCAUGGGAGUGGGUUGCAAAAGAAGUAGGUAGCUUAACCUUCGGGAGGGCGCUUACCACUUUGUGAUUCAUGACUGGGGUGAAGUCGUAACAAGGUAACCGUAGGGGAACCUGCGGUUGGAUCACCUCCUUACCUUAAAGAA